GUAUAAAGGGCAACGAUCUCUCCCUCCUGACGGACUCUCCUCCAAUAGUGUAAAAUGAAAUAACUCCGUUCCAGUCGGCGAUACACAGCACGUCGGUAGCUUCAUCUCUAAAAGGGUACCAAUCUGAUAGUUGUCAAAUCUUAAACGAGCAGCACGCACCGUAAGGGAUUCCACGAUAGGCUCCAGAUCGGUACUCCAACUUGUCGUUCGAUGCGCGUUUUCUCUUCACCAUUCUGAGAAAAUACAUGUAAAUCUAUUAAAUUGGCUCAGAAUACAUAGAAAAAUAAUGUUUAAGUAUUCUGACGGAAAUAUAUA